CCUACGGGAUGCUGCAGUGAGGAAUAUUGGUCAAUGGGCGCGAGCCUGAACCAGCCAAGUAGCGUGAAGGAUGACUGCCCUACGGGUUGUAAACUUCUUUUAUAAAGGAAUAAAGUGAGGCACGUGUGCCUUUUUGUGUGUACUUUAUGAAUAAGGAUCGGCUAACUCCGUGCCAGCAGCCGCGGUAAUACGUAGGAGGCAAGCGUUAUCCGGAAUGACUGGGCGUAAAGGGUGCGUAGGUGGUUUGACACGUUAGUAGCGCAACUCCGGAGCUCAACCUCGGAACUACUACUAAAACUGUUGGACUUGAGUGCAGGAGAGGCAAUCGGAAUUCCCAGUGUAGCGGUGGAAUGCGUAGAUAUUAGGAGGAACACCAGUGGCGAAGGCGGAUUGCUAGACUGUAACUGACGCUGAGGCACGAAAGCGUGGGGAGCAAACAGGAUUAGAUACCCCAGUAGUC
rnacentral:rRNA from 1 species